rnacentral:rRNA from 1 species
UACGUAGGGUGCAAGCGUUAAUCGGAAUUACUGGGCGUAAAGCGUGCGCAGGCGGUGAUGUAAGACAGUUGUGAAAUCCCCGGGCUCAACCUGGGAACUGCAUCUGUGACUGCAUUGCUGGAGUGCGGCAGAGGGGGAUGGAAUUCCGCGUGUAGCAGUGAAAUGCGUAGAUAUGCGGAGGAACACCGAUGGCGAAGGCAAUCCCCGUGGCUGCACUGACGCUCAUGCACGAAAGCGUGGGGAGCAACAGG